AGAUGCAUAAAAUUGUCUAAUGCGUGAGGACACGCAUCUUUUCAGCAGGGUUGUAUGUAAUACCCCACUAUGUGAGUUAUCCUUUCUGAAAUUGUUCCUCACGCUACAGCACAUAAAUUAUAUACAGUAUGUAAUUGUGGAGACUGAUAGCAAUUCCCAGCAGCCUCUGCAGCUGCUCAGAGGGUCAGAUGUAUAUCACAUGACCAGUGUCAGGUGGUACAGCAAGGGACAGUUGAAAAGUGAGCGGCAGUUGGGCAGAGGGGCCCUGAGGUAAACGCUGUGGGACACUGACUGUGCUGUGAGGGGACAGCUGGCAGCACAAGUGAGUGAGAGCAGAGUUUGAGCUGUGACCCUCUCAGGAGUCCUGGUGACGUCGGGCGUAAGGGGUCACUGAUCCGCCCCAGAGGGCAAGUAGAUGUAGAGCCCAUCGACCGAGGACCAGUACAGAGGAAUGGCCUGCUCCAAUUUGAUAGCUGCAGGCUGAGAAACUGAGAGAGGCAGAUUGUGAGGCGGAGCCACUCGCCAUAUAAGGCUGCAGGAGGCCAGUUACUGCCCAGACAACUGGAGAGGCAACUGAAAUGAAUCAUUUAGAAACCCUCCUCCAGAAAUCCUGCAUGUGCCCAAUGUUACCCAUUGAUGACGUCUGGACUGUUUGGGGCACAAGUGGUUGCAUCAGAGAAGAAGCCAAGAACGAGAAGAGAGAAGGGAAAGCACCUGAGGAGGCAGACUCAGUGGACGGAAGCACAUUUUCAAGUGUGAAGGAUAACGCAACAAAUCAUUAAACGCGGUAUGGUGGUAAUUGGCCUGCCAAAGCUGUAGACACAGAAGCAGCCUGAAAAACACACAGCCCUGGCAGUCAUUCUGUUCUUCUAAGUGAACCGAGCUUUGAAGUUGAUGACUUUGGAAUCAUUCACAUCCCUGCUAAUUUGUGAAGAAAAUACAUGUAUAUAAAACGUCUACUGCUGAGAAGUAACAUAUGAAUGUAAAUCUAUACUGAGUAUACCUUGCCGGAAGCCUAUUCAAUACUGAUUGAAAUCUAAAUAAGAAUAUAAAUAGCCAGAAGGAUUUGUACAGCAGCAGCAAGGGGUAAUAG